rnacentral:lncRNA from 1 species
UCUCCCAGAGAGGCCGGAAGCCGGAGGCUUCCGCCCUCGGUGGCUACGCCGCUUCCGGCCGGAUGGUGUGGUGGCGGUGAGGCCGGUGCGCUCCCCGAGGGCCGGCCCGGCGGCCCCGGCUGAUGUCCGCAGCGCCCGGGCCUCACGUCUCUCCGGCUGCUGCCGAGGUUUAGGAACGGAGUUCCGAGAUGAAGGCGGCGGCGCCGGGAAGACGCCGGUUUGGGAGCAGGAGGUGCGCCGCCCCGGCAGGCCCGGGAGGGAGCGAGGACGCCCUCUGCCGGUGUCGCCUCCCCUCUGGCGCCGGCUGUGCGAGGCUGCGGCUCCCGGGGCGGCCCUGGAGCGUGUCCUCACGGGCACUCAGACCCGCGCUCGGUGUGGUCGUUUUCUGGUCGUGACCUGAAGUCUCACCCGCGCAUUUGCUUGAACUGGAAGAGCCCAGCGUGCUCGGUUUGCUAUUUUCAUUUCAGUCCGUCUGUCGUCAAGCUUCACGUUCUCUCCGCAUUGCAGGUUUGACGUCAGAAUUCACCGGCAGCGCCCGUUCUCCUUCGGAAUUCGUAUUUCCGUGCUUCACUCGGUGGGUUUCCAGAUGAUGGGUCAGCUUUAACCCCAGUAAAGCCUUCAGCAGCCUUUCGCAUUUGUGUACGUUAAUGACUCGUCUUGCCUCAGGAGUAGCCCGAAAAACACCCCCAAAGCCAGUCUCCCACAUUCUCCAGCCUGUGCCGUAAUACGUGUUGCCUCGGUGACAGCCCGUAGUGGCUGCAGCCUUGGCUCCCGACCCUGAAAGAGCAGGACCGCGCUAGGAGCCAAGAAUGUGUGCUGUGCCGGAAGAACCCCCAACAACCAGGACGCAGCCACUGCUGCUCCUGACUUUGGGCGUUUCUGUUACCUGGGGACGCCUGCACCCUGGGAGGCCUCCGCCCCAACCCUAUAGAGGACCUCUGGCGGCAGUGGCGGAUGUCCCGCCGCCGAGGAGCAGAUCCUGACCAUCCUGCCCGCGGAGCACCAGGCCCGGGUGUUAGAGCAUCAGCCAGAGAGCAGGGAGGAGGCGGCGAUCGCGUGGGGGCUUUGCAGAGAGAGCUCCACGAAACAGGUUGUAGCCAGGACAGGUGGAAUAGGAGUGUGUUCAGAGUUUCCUCACCAGGCAGCACAGAAGCCACCAGCUAUUCUAGGCCAAGAAACAUGUAGACUUCCAGGCCAUUCAUGAACAAGGAGAAAUUUCUCCUACAUUUAUCACCUGUAUGUUGGAAGACUUCUUCACAACUGCCUUCCCUGUAAGUCUCCCCAUGGAGUCUCCUAGAUAUGCAGUGCUUGCUUCAAAGGUGUGAUACCUAUGCAGUCACACAGGGCCCUAGCACUCAGAAGGGUCCUACUUCCGGAAAGUCCUUAGCUUGGUUUCAUGUGCUAUGUUGUCACAGUCUUGAGAUUCUAAAUUUUAUCUUUGAACUCAUGUUCUAUAAGUAAAGCAGAACAAUAAUGCAUACACCUACGCAGAGCGUAUGUCUUGCCUUCCCAUUCGGGUGUAGCGUUG